UACGUAGGGGGCUAGCGUUGUCCGGAUUUAUUGGGCGUAAAGCGCGUGUAGGCGGCUAGGUAGGUCUGCUGUGAAAACUCGAGGCUCAACCUCGAGACGUCGGCGGAAACCAUCUGGCUAGAGUCCGGAAGAGGAGAGUGGAAUUCCUGGUGUAGCGGUGAAAUGCGCAGAUAUCAGGAAGAACACCCGUGGCGAAGGCGGCUCUCUGGGACGGUACUGACGCUGAGACGCGAAAGCGUGGGGAGCGAACAGG
rnacentral:rRNA from 1 species